rnacentral:rRNA from 1 species
UACGUAGGGUGCGAGCGUUGUCCGGAUUUACUGGGCGUAAAGGGCGUGCAGGCGGUCUGCUAAGUUUGGGGUGAAAGCUCCCGGCUCAACUGGGAGAGGUCCUUGAAUACUGGCAGACUCGAGGGAGGUAGAGGAGAGUGGAAUUCCCGGUGUAGUGGUGAUAUGCGUAGAUAUCGGGAGGAACACCUGUGGCGAAGGCGGCUCUCUGGGCCUUACCUGACGCUGAGACGCGAAAGCGUGGGGAGCGAACCGG